rnacentral:rRNA from 1 species
GAGUCAACAUAGCAAUAUGUGGCAUACGGCUCAGUAACACGUAGUCAACAUGCCCAGGGGACGUGGAUAACCUCGGGAAACUGAGGAUAAACCGCGAUAGGUCAUCACUUCUGGAAUGGGUAAUGACUUAAAUCUAUAUGGCCCCUGGAUUGGACUGCGGCCGAUCAGGCUGUUGGUGAGGUAAUGGCCCACCAAACCUGUAACCGGUACGGGCUCUGAGAGGAGGAGCCCGGAGAUGGGCACUGAGACAAGGGCCCAGGCCCUAUGGGGCGCAGCAGGCGCGAAACCUCUGCAAUAGGCGAAAGCUUGACAGGGUUACUCUGAGUGAUUUCCGUUAAGGAGAUCUUUUGGCACCUCUAAAAAUGGUGCAGAAUAAGGGGUGGGCAAGUCUGGUGUCAGCCGCCGCGGUAAUACCAGCACCCCGAGUGGUCGGGACGUUUAUUGGGCCUAAAGCAUCCGUAGCCGGUUCUACAAGUCUUCCGUUAAAUCCACCUGCUUAACAGAUGGGCUGCGGAAGAUACUAUAGAGCUAGGAGGCGGGAGAGGCAAGCGGUACUCGAUGGGUAGGGGUAAAAUCCGUUGAUCCAUUGAAGACUACCAGUGGCGAAGGCGGCUUGCCAGAACGCGCUCGACGGUGAGGGAUGAAAGCUGGGGGAGCAAACCGGAUUAGAUACCCGGGUAGUCCCAGCUGUAAACGAUGCAGACUCGGUGAUGAGUUGGCUUAUUGCUAACUCAGUGCCGCAGGGAAGCCGUUAAGUUUGCCGCCUGGGGAGUACGGUCGCAAGACUGAAACUAAAGGAAUUGG